rnacentral:lncRNA from 1 species
UUUCUAGGGAUGUGUUGUACCACAGAGAGUCUGUAGAUAACAAUCCUAUAUUGUCCACAGCCGGUUUUUGUAUGGCCCACAAGCUGAGAAUAAUUUUUAUGUUUUUCCAUGGUUGAAAAGAAAAAUAAUAUCUCAUGGCAUGUAAAAAUCAUAUAAAACUCAAAAUUCUGGUUGCCAUGAAUAAACAUUUUAUUGGAAGAUAUCAUGCUCAUUUAUUUAUAGGCUGCGUGUGGUUGCUUUUGUGAUCCAGCAGCAGAGCUGAAUAGUUGUGCCAGUGACAUGAUAGCCCACAGAACCUAAAAUGUUUACUCCUUGGUUCUUUACAGAGAAGGCUGGCCAUACCCUGCUCUAGAGGGUCCCUCGGUAACGAUGAUGGUAACCUGUGAUGAUGACAAUGACGGUGAUCAGUGACUGAUUGCGUCUUUCUACCAAGUACACGUGUGUUGCCUGCCCUUGUAGCAUGUGGCAUGUAGCAGAUUAAUUUUCGCUUAAAAAUUAUAUUUCUUAAGUGUUUAUGGGAUUGUCACCUAUGUGGACCCUUCCCUUUGUCUACUCUAGAUUUGGGCUUUUCUACAUGAUAAUGAUUAUCUGGAAAGAUUUUUUUUCUUGAACCUUUCAGAUUUUACCAGUUCUCCAGAUGUUUGACACUUUAUACAUUAGGAAAACCAUUCACAAAACUGGCUCAUCCUCAUUAUUAUCAGAGAAAUGUAAAACGUAAAAUGUCCUGGCUUAAUGAAGCAGCGUCUGGGGACGGAACUCAGAACUUUCGUUUUUAAGUUCUGCCGGUGAUGCUAAGAGUCAGCCUGAUUUGGGAAUAAGUGGUCGAAAUAAUUAUUUUAUUUUAUGCUUUUUCAAAGGGAUGUGUGUUGUAGAUACCACCUGACUUGGAACUCUUUGACAGUGAAACUGAUUUCCCUAAUUUUUUAAUCUUUACCCCCCCAGUCCCUCAGAGCUCUACCGUCUCUACCAUCGUCAUGGGAACAGGACUUCGUACCUAGGGGAUGCUCAAACCUAGUCACUUGACUGACUGGAUAGCACAGUUCCUGGUAACAUAUAUUGACUUCCUUCCCCAUCUUAGGAAAGAAUUUCCCUAUGAAAAUAAAAUUGCACUCACAGAACAUUGAAUUCUUAUGUGCACAUAUUUAGAGCGGUCUGGGACUGGCCCAGGUUAGAGCAGUCCUUUUGUUCCUGGCCACAUUUUCAUGAAAGAGUCAGAUAGACCUUCACUGGAAGUGAAAAUGUCCACCUGGCCUUAAUGUAACCUCCCAGGAAGAUGAGGAGAAAUUAUCAGCAGAUUUCAUAUCUGUACUUUUAUGCUAGCGUUCUAAUUUUGUUCCUUCAAGCUUUUAGGAUUAAUUUCCCUAGUUUAUAGGCUGAAUGGAAAUGUCCCAAGGUCCCUUUGGCUCCUCUGGAUGAAAUAAUUAGCUGCACAUGCUAUUCAACACUCCUCUAUGCCUCAGCCCCUCAUUAGUUUCAAAUCUCAAUUUAAUUUCCAGGAGAAAUAGUUCAGUGUUUCCUGAGACUUAGCAAUAGAAUCUGACCAACUGCAGGGGGUCUCAUACUCAGACUGCCUUUUCCUGGUCCCUCGUCCACCUUUCACCCUCCCACCCCCAUCAGAUCUCUGUAAGAUUCAGUUUUGCUGCUCCGUGUUUGCAAAUGGGACAGACCACAAAUUGUUUCCUGAAAACCAAAUGCUUCCAUUUGCUCCCUUCCUAAUUGCUCCCGGAGUUCGAUUUGAAACCGGUUGCUCUCUGGAACAGGUUUUCUCAAGUUGAUCUGUGGAAAAUGGAUGCAGCCCUAGGGUUAAACAUCUGAGCUGUAAACAUGGAGGGGGAAAACAAAAAAGGAUUCUCAUUUGUGUCAUUAAUUCAUUUGAUGGUAACUGUGUGUAAACACCAGUGUUGUCCCUAUUGCAAUAUGACUCGUACUAUCCCUCAAAGCCCACGGCUAGUCUUUUUUGGUUUCAGCUUUCAGAUGUGAGCUAUGGGGUUUGACCAGCCUGGAGGAACCUGACCUGUGAGAUCUCAUCCAGAUGCUCUGAGUGUUGUGCGUAGCACCGAGUCAGGUAGUAGUAGAUUUUUAAAAAGAUGAUGAAAUGUUUGAAGAUGAACUGCAAUGAAGUGUCAGAUUGUAUUUAUCCAUUUUUUUAUUUCAGGAUGUUUUAAUAUUAGAAAAAUGAACAUGAACAGAUUACAGGAGAAGAGCCCAUAGAUCAUUUUGAAGGAUGACAAAAACCAUUUAGUAAAUUUCACCUCACUUUCAUGAUGGAGGAAUUAUGUCUUUGUGUGUGUGUGUGUGUGUGUGUGCGCGCGCACUCCCAAUGAUGUUUAUUUAUUUUUUUUACAGUCUUUUUAAUGUUCUUUUCCAUUAUGGUUUAUCAGAGGGUAUUGAAUAUAGUUCCCUGUGCCAUAGAGUAGGACCUUGUUGUUUAUCCAUUCUAUGUAUAAUAGUUUGCACCUGCUAACCCCAACCUCCCACUCCACCCCUUCUCCAGCCCCCUCUCCUUGGCAACCACAAGUCUUUUCUCUAUGUUUGUGAAUCCGUUUCUGUUUCGUAGAUAGGUUGAUUUAUGCCAUAUUUUAGAUUCCACGUAUAAGUGAUAUCAUAUGGUGUUUGUCUUAUUUUUCUGACUUACUUCACUUAGUACGAUAAUCUGUAGGUGCAUCUGUGUUGUUGCAAAUGGCAUUAUUUCAUUACUUUCUGUGCCUGAGUCAUAUUCCAUUGUAUGUAUGCACCACAUCUUUUAAAAAAAUUUUAUAAUUUUAAUUUUUAAACAUGUUAUUGGAAUAUAGUUGACUUACAAUGUAUUAGUUUCAGGUGUACAGCAGAGCGAUUCGGUUAUACAUAUAUUCAUUAUAUUUCCCAUAGAAGUUAUUACAAACUAUUGAGUAGAUUUCCCUGUACUAUACAGUAGGUCCUUGUUAAUUAUCACUUUUAUACCGUAGUAUGUAUGUGUUAUUCCCUCCUUCUUAAUUCAUCCCUCCCCCUACGGUGUCCCCUAAGUUUGAUUUUGAAAUCUGUGAGUUUGUUUCUAUUUGUUUGUUUGUUUAUUUGUUUUUUUAAGGCCACUUUUGUGGCAUAUGGAAGUGCCCAGGCAAGUGGUCAAAUUUAGGGCCAGACCUGCAGCAUAUGGAAGUUCCCAGGCUAGGGGUUGAAUCAGAGCUGCACCUGCCAGCCUACACCACAGCCACAGCAACACAGCAUCCAAGCCAUGUCUGUGACCUACACCACAGCUCAUGCAAUGCUGGAUCCUUAACCCACUGAGCAAGGCCAGGGGUGGAACUCACAUCCUCAUGGAUAUUAGUUGGGUUCCUUACUGCUGGGCCACAGCAGGAACUCCAUGUUUCUGUUUUGUAAAUAAGUUCGUUUGUAUCAUUUUUUAGAGUUCACAUAUAAGUGAUAUCAUAUGAUAUUUGUCUUUGUCUGACUUACUUCCCUUAGUAUGAUACUCUCUAGUUUCAUCCAUGUUGCUGCAAAUGUCUUUUUUUAUGACUGAGUAGUAUUCCGGUGUAUAUAGGUACCACAUCUUCUUUAUCCAUUCAUCCGUUGAUGGACAUUUAGGUGUUUUCCAGGUCUUGGCUAUUGUGAGUAGAACUGCUAUGAACAUAGGGGUGCAUGUUAUCUUUUGAAUUAUAGUUUUGUCUGGAUAUAUGUUCAGAUUUUAUUUUUUAAAUUUAUUUUUAAAAUGGAAGUGUAGUUGAUGUAUAACAUUAUAUGAGUUAUAAGUAUACAGUACAGUGAUUCACACCUUUUUUUUUUCUUUUUUUUUUUUUUUUGUCUUUUUAGGGCUUCAUCCAAGGCAUAUGGAAGUUCCCAGGUUAGGGGUCCAAUUGGAUCUGCAGCUGCCAGGAAUGUGGUAUCCAAGCCAUGUCUGUGACCUACACCAUAGCUCAUGGCAGCAUUGAAUCCUUAACUCACUGAGUGAGGCCAGAGAUUGAACCCACAUCCUCAUGAAUACUAGUUGGGUUUGUAACCCACUGAGCCAUAGUGGGAACUCCUGAUUCAUAACUUUUAAAAGUUAUGUUCCAUUUAUAGUUAUUAUUGUAUAGCACAGCUCAAAUAUUUUGUAAUAACUGUAAAUGAAGUAUCAGGUUUUAAAAAUUACUUUGGUAAAUUCUUUUAGGAGAUGGAGUAGAAUGAAAAGGAAUAUUCUGUAUACUCUAUAUUACUCUGAGUAAAAGUGCUCAAAAUAUUUCUUUUGAUGGUUUGCUGCCUUCGAUGUUAGGUUUUUGUCCAUGACCUUGGGCAAGUUAUUUAAUCUCUUUGAUACUUAUUUUUCUCAUCUAUAAAAUGGGUGUAAUAAUACCAUAACUAAAGGGUUCAAAUAAGAAGGAAAUUGGAGUUCCCACGGGGCACGUAGGGUUAAGGAUCUGAUGUUGGUGUCUGCAGUGGUGUGGGUUCAAUCCCUGGCCCGGUGCUGUGGGUUAAGGAUCUGGCAUUGCUGCAGCUGUGUUAUAGGUCUCAGUUACAGCUCAGAUCGAAUCUUUGAACUGGGAACUUCCAUAUGCUGCAGAUGAGGUCCAAAAGAUAAAAGUAAAAAAAAAAAUUUUUUAAGUAAUUGAGAAGGAAAUGAGAAAGCCAUUUAAAGUACAGAUAUCAAUCUCCACCCUUCUGUACCCCCCAGUUCCCUUCAUCCAUGUCUUCCUUCCAGAAAGACAAAUACUUGUUUAUUUUUUUAUUUGUUUUUUUUUUUUUGUCUUUUCCAGGGCCGCACCCAUGGCAUAUGGAGGUUCCCAGGCUAGGGGUCUAAUCGGAGCUGUAGCCUGUGCCACAGCCACAGCCACAGCAACACGGGAUCCAAGCUGCAUCUUCGACCUACACCACAGCUCAUGGCAAUGCCAGAUCCUUAACCCACUGAGCGAGGCCAGGGAUCCAACCCGAAAUCUCAUGGUUUCUAGUCAGAUUCGUUAACCACUGAGCCACGACGGGAACUCCGAGAAAGACAAAUACUUGUAAUGGGUAGGUUCUAGGCAACUUUAUCUUAAGUUGUGUGUUCUGUCCUUGGAAUCAGCUUUCUUCCUGUUAUUCCUAUUUAUUUCUGUAUCCUGGCUUGAGGAGUUGGAUUAUAACAACUGUGCCUGGGCAGACAGCUCUUAUUAUUAGAUGGACCAAGGCCAAAACUCAUGUAACCUGGGCUGAGUCCCCUACCUGUUUUCAUCAGCCAUGCUGUCUUAACGAACAUACUAACAACUCUUUCUUUGAAAGUGUUGUCACAACUGAUUCCAGAUAGUGCUAAAAUAACCUGCUUUUUCUCUGGGCC